GUUUCAAGAGUUCUUUGUAUAUUUUGGGUGUAAGUUCUUUUUCAGAAAAAUGUUUUGCAAAUAUUUUCUCCCAGCCCAUGACUUGUUUCUUUAUUAUCUUAAUAGUGUCUUUUGCAUAGCAGAAGUUUACAUUGUGUUUUCUUUUAUGAAUUGUGAUUUAGGUGUUGUAUCUAAAGUCUCAUUGUCAAACCCAAGUUUUUAUUUUUUUUCCUAUAUUUUCUUUUAGGCUGCUUAUUUGUGUCAAAUGGAUUUAGAUUAGCCAGGCCAGAGUAAGGUGUCCCAUUCUUACUGAUAUGAUUUUAAAGAGCAAGUUUUCUGAUAGUCUAUGAUUUAAAAAAAAAAAAAAAAGUUUUUCUCAGUAAAAGUGCAGCUGUGAGAGGUUGUUCGGACUCAACAACCCAGCUGCAGCCUGACCUUGGGAGAAUAGUUGUUUCCUGUUAACUUUGCAACUGGUUUAAUCUGUGACUGUGUCUUUUGUGUAUCUGUUUUAAUUUGCACAAUGAAUGGACAAUCUAAUGUUUUACUUUGUCAGAUGGAGCAGAUAUUUUGCUUCUUCACCACCAACUCACUACACAAUGCAGGGUUCUUAACCUGCAUCGACUUGAUCAUAAACUCAGGAAAAGACAGAUACUGGUCAGUAUUUCCUUCCAAAAGCGGAGAUGAUAAAGUAAUAUAGAAAUCCUAAGGUCCAGACCUAUGUUCAGCCAGGUUCUGCUCCUUCUCCACACACCUUUGUUUUUUCUCCAGCUUCCAAGGAAUCUCACAAAGGGAGUGGGGAAACAGUGAACCCAUUACUUCUUUCCUGCUUUAAAUCCAAUUCUCGGAGACUGUUAGGCAGAAUCUCCGCUUGGUGGAAAGUGGGGCUUGCAGCCUAAAGUGAUUAGUUUGGAGGCCUUCUCUGUGCCUUCGCUGUGGGAAUGCCAGCUGCCUGUCGGCUGGAUGCGGGCCGAGUCGCCGGCCACACGGAGAGCCUUCACAACCUCAGCUGGCACCGGGGCUUGGGUCCUGGCCCUGCCCCCUGAGGACCCGGCCCCCUCUCAGUCCCACCCCGCCCUGGGAUCCGCUCCUGACCCCGCUGCGCGUGGCUCCAGGAACCUGGCUGGCAGAGGCUAUUCGUUGCCCCGCCAGGCCGGGUGAGGGCGGAGCCGGGCAUCCAGCCGCGAGGACUGGAGCAGCGGGAGGUGGAGCCCCGGUCCGGAAGCCGGGGAUCCGCGGCCAUGACUGUGCCGGCCCGUGGCUUCUUGCUGCUCCGCGGCCGCCUGGGCCGAGUGCCGGCGCUGGGCAGGAGCACAGCACCCCCCGUGAGAGCACCGGGAGGGCCCAGGAGCGCGUUCCGGGGCUUUCGGAGCAGCGGUGUGAGACAUGAAGCCGUUAUUAUAUCAGGAACCGAAAUGGCUAAGCAUAUCCAGAAAGAAAUAAAGCAAGGUGUGGAAUCAUGGAUUUCCCUUGGAAACAGAAGACCUCACCUCAGUAUAAUUUUAGUGGGAGAUAAUCCAGCAAGCCAUACAUACGUCAGGAAUAAGAUAAGAGCUGCCUCUGCUGUAGGUAUUUGUAGUGAGCUCAUUCUAAAACCUAAGGAUGUUUCUCAGGAAGAACUUUUGGACAUAACAGAUCAAUUGAAUAUGGACCCAAGAGUCAGUGGUAUAUUAGUUCAGUUACCACUGCCAGACCAUGUUGAUGAACGAAUGAUAUGCAAUGGAAUUGCCCCAGAAAAAGAUGUUGAUGGAUUUCAUAUUAUCAAUAUUGGAAGAUUGUGCCUUGACCAGCAUUCUCUCAUACCUGCCACUGCCAGUGCUGUUUGGGAAAUAAUAACAAGAACAGGAAUUCAAACAUUUGGAAAAAAUGUGGUUGUGGCUGGAAGAUCCAAGAACGUAGGGAUGCCCAUUGCCAUGCUUUUACACACUGAUGGAGAGCAUGAACGGCCAGGAGGUGAUGCAACUGUGACAAUAGCUCACAGAUAUACCCCCAAAGAACAGCUGAAGACUCAUACACAACUGGCAGAUGUUAUCAUAGUUGCUGCAGAGAUGGGGGUUCACCAUGUUGGCCAGGCUGGUCUCCAAUUCCUCACCUCAAGUGAUAUACCUGCUUCAACCUCCCAAAGUGCUGGGAUUACAGGCAUGAGCCACCAUGCCCAGCCCAUCAAGGUAUUCCAAAGUUGAUUACAUCUGAUAUGGUUAAAGAAGGUGCUGCUGUAAUUGAUGUGGGUAUCAACUAUGUCCAUGAUCCAGUGACAGGGAAGACAAAAUUAGUUGGAGAUGUGGACUUUGAAGAUACGAUUGGGGAAGACGCUUUUCAGAGCAUCAAAAAUAAAUAAAAUUUAACUCUUUCUCAUAUGACCAUUUUUAGCAUAUAAGCCACCUGCAGUAUUUCAUACGUGUGUUGCUUAGGAUAGCCCUGAAAUAGUUAUGCAAAAUCAUUAGAACGGAGAAUUUUUGUUAAGCAUUGACAUCUUCACCACUGGCAUUUGCCAGUAACUCCCCACCUUUCUUGAGAGAUCACUUACUUCUACAUCCUGAUCCUUACGUAAAUACACAAAGAAUAUAUUAACACUAGCCAGCAGCAGAUAAGAUUAUUAUUUCUUUCUUAGACACAGAUACUCAUGAAUAUCAAAUAAAAAGGAAUAGAAACCUAAUAUGUGUUUUCUAAAAUCAAAUUAAUCACUCUGCCUCUCAUGACCAUGUACAAAGUGUAUCUUCAUAUCCAUAUACUGUAUUUCAAAGACAAAAAAGAUUGAAGCAAGUAUUUGAGUAAUCAGGUGGGUUUACAAUGAUAUUAUAAUCUUCUGCUUCAUGAGUAAUUUUUGGGCUCCAUUGAUGCUACUAAAUGCUUAUUGAUGUUCAGAGAAGCCCUAGCCCAUGUUAGGUGAAACCCCAUUACCCCUUAAUAGUCUAAUUCUAUGAAAACUGAUAGGUAGGACAGGGUGAAUGUGUAUUGGUUUCCACCACUAAAGUAUGAUGCAAAAAUGUAGACACUGAGCUAAAAAAUUUCAGGCAGAUGUUAUUUUAUGCAGUAUCUCAUUCCCAUUCCCUCCUCCUCCACCCAAACCUCACCUUUUGAGCUGAGCGAAAGAAUGUAAUAGUAAGCAUGUUGUCUGUAAAACAUAAUUUGGAAGAGGAAGAUUGUGAUACCUGAGCAGACCGAUGGUUUAUCUGAUCUAACACCAGGAAUAAAAUGACUUAGUCAACUGUGUAAUUUGAAGUGUAAGAUGUAGUUCAGAGAUGAUAGCUAUGAGAACUCAUAGUCAAAAUGUAGGAAAAUUAAUAUAUUAGAAUGUUUUCCUCUUCAUUUUUUUUUUUCUAGAAUAUCCUCCUAACACUUUGAGAAAACAGAGUUAAUUUCUGGCACUUGAGCUAUUCUUUGGACUUUUCUACUUGUUCAGGUCAUAUAUAGUUGCAUUCGGAUGGGGUGAAAUUACAGAAUUUUAGAAUAUUUCUAACCUGGCUGUGAGCAAUUUCUCUACUAUAUAGGAGAGUGGUAAGUCACUGUAACUUUACUGAGCCACAGUUUCCUCAUCUAUUAAGAUGAAAUAAUCAAAUAUUAAUUAUUAGAACAAUGUAUACAAUUAUUGGCAACCAAUUAAUAGGUACUCAAUUGAUAGUAGCUAUGCUUUUUACUAUUUUUUCAGAGACAAAUAGUAUCAAAGCCACUUUACCUUUCAAAGUUAAAAACCAAACUAUAUAAAAAUAAUUUUAUGCCCACAAUGGAUAUUCCCCGAUAUAACAAAUUGUAUGCCACUUUUAAAUUUUGAAAAAAAUCAUUUUGUUUUCUAUCCAAUUAGCACUUGAUUUUUACUUUCCCAUAAUAUUCAGCAGUAUUUUAUUUUUAUCUAUUAAUAUUUCAACAUUCGUGUUUUACAAGUAUAGUAGUACUGUAAGUAGUAAUAAAGUAGUAGUAGUAGUAGUAGUAGUAGUAGUAGUCGUGUAAAUGUUUCUUCUAAAGACCUGCCGCGUUUUAAAGGCCUUGCUUCUUCAAUGCUUGAGGAAAGGUCUUGGAAGGCAUUUCUUAGGCCAUUAAGUCAGCUUAUUGAAAAGUGGAAAAUGCAGUUUAUCACCCUCAAGCAAAAUGAGUAGCUUGAGUUUUUCAGUAAAUUAGCUUAAACUAAAUUGAUACUGUUUAUAUCCAGUCAAAAGCACUGACACAUUUCUGCAAAUUGAUUUUAGAUUUUAAGUAAGGGAAAUUUAAGUUCACUUCCUCAGAAUUUGCUGAGUCCCUAACCUGUGCAUGGAGACAUUCUAAGAUGAAAAACAACAACCAGAAUGACUUGGCUGCUGCCUUCUAGGUGCUGGUAUCUAGUUAAGGGAAGAGAUAGUGCCGUGUAUUAUGUUCCAUAAUGAAGGCAGGUGUCAAAUAUUGGAAAUAUACAUGGUGGGACGUACUCUUUUUAAUAUAUGUUUUUUAUUGUACUUUAGAUUUGGGGGUACAUGUGCAGAACAUGCAGAAUUGUUGCUUAGGUACACACAGGGCAAUGUGGUUUGCUGCCUCCAUCUCCCUGUCACCUACCUGGCAUUUCUCCCCAUGUUAUCCCCCCCAACCUCCCUAUCCUCUACUGUCCCUCCCCUAGUCCAUCCCCACAGACCCCAGCAUGUGAUGCUCCCCUCCCUGUGUCCAUGUGUUCUCAUUGUUCAACACCUGCCUGCAAGUGAGAACAUGCAGUGUUUGAUUUUCUGUUCUUGUGUCAGUUUGCUGAGAAUGAUGGUUUCCAGAUUCAUCCAUGUCCCUACAAAGGACAUGACUUCAUAGUUUUUAUGGCUGCAUAGUAUUCUGUGGUGUAUAUGUGCCACAUUUUUCUUGUCCAGUCUAUUAUCGAUGGACAUUUGGGUUGGUUCCAGGUCUUUGCUAUUGUAAACAGUACUGCAAUGAACAUACGUGUGCAUGUAUCUUUAUAAUAGAAUGAUUUAUAAUCCUUUGGGUAUAUUCCCAGUAAUGGGAUUGCUGGGUCAAAUGGAAUUUCU